GUGCUUGCUUCAGCAGCAGUAUACUUACUAAAAUUGAAAUGAUAUGGAGAUAGCAUGGCCCAUAUACAAGGAUGACCUAGAAAUUCAUGCAGCAUUCCAUAAUUUU
rfam:Canis lupus familiaris chromosome 18, whole genome shotgun sequence.